rnacentral:rRNA from 1 species
AUGAACGCUAGCUACAGGCUUAACACAUGCAAGUCGAGGGGCAGCAUGGUCUUAGCUUGCUAAGGCCGAUGGCGACCGGCGCACGGGUGAGUAACACGUAUCCAACCUGCCGUCUACUCUUGGACAGCCUUCUGAAAGGAAGAUUAAUACAAGAUGGCAUCAUGAGUCCGCAUGUUCACAUGAUUAAAGGUAUUCCGGUAGACGAUGGGGAUGCGUUCCAUUAGAUAGUAGGCGGGGUAACGGCCCACCUAGUCUUCGAUGGAUAGGGGUUCUGAGAGGAAGGUCCCCCACAUUGGAACUGAGACACGGUCCAAACUCCUACGGGAGGCAGCAGUGAGGAAUAUUGGUCAAUGGGCGAGAGCCUGAACCAGCCAAGUAGCGUGAAGGAUGACUGCCCUAUGGGUUGUAAACUUCUUUUAUAAAGGAAUAAAGUCGGGUAUGGAUACCCGUUUGCAUGUACUUUAUGAAUAAGGAUCGGCUAACUCCGUGCCAGCAGCCGCGGUAAUACGGAGGAUCCGAGCGUUAUCCGGAUUUAUUGGGUUUAAAGGGAGCGUAGAUGGAUGUUUAAGUCAGUUGUGAAAGUUUGCGGCUCAACCGUAAAAUUGCAGUUGAUACUGGAUAUCUUGAGUGCAGUUGAGGCAGGCGGAAUUCGUGGUGUAGCGGUGAAAUGCUUAGAUAUCACGAAGAACUCCGAUUGCGAAGGCAGCCUGCUAAGCUGCAACUGACAUUGAGGCUCGAAAGUGUGGGUAUCAAACAGGAUUAGAUACCCUGGUAGUCCACACGGUAAACGAUGAAUACUCGCUGUUUGCGAUAUACAGCAAGCGGCCAAGCGAAAGCGUUAAGUAUUCCACCUGGGGAGUACGCCGGCAACGGUGAAACUCAAAGGAAUUGACGGGGGCCCUCACACGCGGAGGAACAUGUGGUUUAAUUGGAUGAUACGCGAGGAACAUUACCCGGGCUUAAAUUGCAGAUGAAUUACGGUGAAAGCCGUAAGCCGCAAGGCAUCUGUGAAGGUGCUGCAUGGUUGUCGUCAGCUCGUGCCGUGAGGUGUCGGCUUAAGUGCCAUAACGAGCGCAACCCUUGUUGUCAGUUACUAACAGGUUCCGCUGAGGACUCUGACAAGACUGCCAUCGUAAGAUGUGAGGAAGGUGGGGAUGACGUCAAAUCAGCACGGCCCUUACGUCCGGGGCUACACACGUGUUACAAUGGGGGGUACAGAGGGCCGCUACCACGCGAGUGGAUGCCAAUCCCCAAAACCUCUCUCAGUUCGGACUGGAGUCUGCAACCCGACUCCACGAAGCUGGAUUCGCUAGUAAUCGCGCAUCAGCCACGGCGCGGUGAAUACGUUCCCGGGCCUUGUACACACCGCCCGUCAAGCCAUGGGAGCCGGGGGUACCUGAAGUGCGUAACCGCGAGGAGCGCCCUAGGGUAAAACUGGUGACUGGGGCU